GAGAGCGCAGCGGCGCGGCGGCGGCGGGAGGCGGAGCCGCCCUGCAGACGGAAGGAAGCGCCGGCGGGGUUUGUGCCCGGCAGAGCCUUACGGAGCGUGUCGUGGGGCCGGUGUUGCGCAAUAGUGCCACAGUGGCCGUGACUGAAGAGGCGGCGCUGAUACCUGUCAGGUAUCAUGCGAUUUCAUUGAAUGACGUUCAGAGAGGAUAAUAUGCAAAGAGUACUGCCUGAGCAAGAAACUGUCUCUGUUGCCUGGUGUUUUGCAUUGCCCCUUUGAUGAAAAACAAAAGGAAAAGCUGCUGUUUUAAAAAAAAAAAGUUGAAUGAGAAAGUGUUUUUACCUUUAGGAGGUAUGUUAGGCCCCGUGAAUCUGCAGAGACUUCAGCACUUACUGCUAGACCUUGAUGCAGAAGGUACAAGGUUGAUCUUUGCUGUUUAUAGCUUAGUUUUCAUUUUUAUUUAAUCUUUUACUCACGGUACGUGGUCUCUAUCGCGCCAAUGGUGUCUUUUCUAUCGCCUAUACUGGGACUAGUAAAUGCUUUAGUUGGGUGUGGGGAAAUAGCUUUGUUAUUCCAGGUCAUGUCGAUUGGGCUAGAGUUUGGCAUCAAGACGAUCUGGUAUUAGCAGACAUUUUUCAGGUGUAAGCUGAAUGCUAUGGCUUAAGCUACGUCUUGGUAGCCUAAGUGCACCUUCCGGUGCACCCUUAUUUUGUUACGACUUACCUCAUCUUUGCCUGGAUAACUUAUUAGUUUAUUGGGGGGGGGGGUUGCGAGGAGGGUGCCGGGCGGUAUGUACAUGCCCCAGGGCUGGCCUAAAGAGGGCUGUCCCUCUUGAUUGUCCCACUUUACUGCUAAAUCCACCUUUCAGGGGUUAUUUCAUACCCCUUUGCCAUUAUGUUCUAACUUAGAAAAUGUAGCCUAUUGCUGCCAUUCCAUAGGCUAUACCUUGACCUGUCUUUUUAGCGUGGUGGGGCUAUUGCGCUCAUUGUUGGGCUUUCAGGGGAGGUGGGCUGGCGACGGCGUUAUGUAGGCUGUUUUGACAAGGAAUGGUCAGGUAUAUCGUGUAUCAUCGAUUACAGAACAGGCUCCUCUAGGUGGGUUUGGGGCAUCGCCAAGUCCUUAGAGUUUUAAGCAUUGGUGCUCAUCAUUCUCAGGCGGAUGCUUUAGUGGGUGUAAGCUUCAAGAUUUAGGGCCAGGCAUAGUGGGGUAUCUAAUCCCAGUUUGGGCCCUGGCUUUCGUGGAGUUCAAUUAAUCGUUGUUCUAAGAUCUUCUUUGAUGGGGAGGCCUUAUUGGCAUCUUGGGCUUGUGACAGCUUAGUUGCUUUUUAAUCUUAGCUACUUGGAUAGCAUGUGACCACUCUUUACGCCAUUAUAAAGUUAAUUUGGGUCUCCUGUAUGACCGUGGUGGCUGGCACAGGAUUUACCAACCCUAGAUUUGCUAUGGCUAAGUCAAGUUUACACUCAUUGCUCAAUAUUAACUACUGCUGAGUACCCGUGGGGGUGUGGCAACUGCAAGGCGUUUUGGGCUACGGUUGUGGUGAGCCUGAUACCCGCUCCUGUCUACCUAAUUAAGGUGUCCAGGGCACCUACACUGGAGCAUGGAUACUUGCAUGUAUAUACCUAGCAAAAACUAACAGUAAGGUUAGGAUUAAGUAUUUUGUCCUCGGGUGUGUGUGGCAGCCAUCUUGACAUCUUCAGUGUCAUGCUUUCUAUAAGCUACAAGGAUGUAAAAUUUGGUGGGUAGUUGGUUGAUGGUUUGUCAUCAUGGUUUGUAUUUUUUUUUGGUUUUUGGAGAGGGGCCAGUUUUGGGGUUAAUUCUGUUUGUUUGGGGGUGGUUGGGGAGUGAUGAUGGUGGCUGGUUGUCAUUUUUGACAGUAGGAAAUAGAGAGGAAGAUUAAUUGAAAGUAUAUUGAUGGCAAGUGGUUUGGACAAUGUAGAGAUAAAUGGUUUAGUUAUUUGACAAAAAAAAAAUGUCAAGAUAAAAAAAAUAGAUGCAUAAAAUGGAAUUUAAAUGUUAAUUCCUAGUAAAUGAUAAAAUAAUUAAUAUGUCCGGCAAGCAUUACACCAUCUGUUGUGUAGAGGUAGGUACCGCGCCCUCCAUGAAUGGGGUCAAGUGCAUCAGUGCUAAGUUUGGGACGACCUUAUCCGUCAGACCAUGACGUUCUGGGUGUUAGGGGAUUCAUAUGCUCGACAGUCAUGUGAUGGACAUGUCAAGAGGAAGAUAACAGCUGCUGUGCACUUGAAGGGCUUAUUGAAGAGACGCUAAAAGAAAACAAGUGUAGGAGGUCGGUAUGCCAAGGUAUUGAACUUAGGAAGGAGUAUUCAACCGACCACUUGUAUCUGUGAAGAGCAAGGAGGAGGGAAUGGGGCAAGUUAUAGUCCUGAAGUUACAACCAAUAGUGCAAAAGAGCAAGUAUAGGAGAGGUAUGUGCUUGCAGGGCAAUAACCUAAAGUAUAUAUGACGUUGAGUAACCAUAGCUCGGUUCUCGUGAGAAGCGCGACCAAUAGAUAACCAUGUCCUCUGGCUUGGGAGCGCUUGAAAGCUGUUGGUCAGGAAUAUUACCUAGGAGGUGGGCAAAUCCUGUAGACUAGGGGAAUUCAAAGGUGUACUGGGACAUUCCUCAUUCACAAGGUUGGGUGUUGUGCAUAGUAGAUAAGGUCCUGGGUCUUUGAGUAAUGCUUGUGGCUUGGCUGCAAUUAAGAUACAAAAUUACUGGAAUCAGCUCUUGUUGUACAGUUCAUGAAAAAAACCUUUCCUAAGAAAAUUGUGAUAAGAACGAAUGGUUGUAAUACUAGAUUGUGUUGCCCUAGCAGAAAGGGAACAGAUUGCAUCUCCAUCCAUGUUUCAGCUGUGUCAAAAGGAAAUUUAAGUAUUUAGACUGUAUUUUGGGGAAGGGGCAAUAAAAGAUAACAAAGAGGGGUCAUAAUUAAACUCCCACGUCUGAUCACAAAAAGUAGGCUUGAGGUUUUCUCAGAGCUGUGGCAUCUGACAUCCGCAGAUUCCUAGGUUAGGGCAAUUGACUAAGUCUUUGAUUGAGACAACUGACAACUUCAAGAAUAGCUAGUGGAGAGGUAAUGCAGAAAUUAGGACCUCACAAGAGAUCGAUUGCAACUAAUUCAGUUGCAGCAGGAGCACCAGCUUGUAUUAACUCCGUGGCAGCAGCAGGAGGAACCCAGAAUUCUAACACCACAACAGACACAUAGAUAUCACAUCUUAACACCUUUAAUUCAAAAUCUAAUAGCAGAACCUAAUGAUGGAGAAAAACAUCACCAGUGUGAACAAAUGAUACCCAUUCCAAGUAAAGCAGAAUAUCAAUUCUGACAAAGAAUAUUUAGUCACUCUGGCUAGAUGGUUUCAUGAUAAAUCCUAUCGAGGGACACGGGCAAUAUUUAUCCAAGUACAAAAAAUAUGGCCAGCAAUAGCCACCACAGGAAUUUAGCUCCAGGAAUUUAUGCCACCACAAAAGAGAAUCACAAAUGGCUGCCUGACUUGACAUGAGUUUUCAGGCAGCAGACUGAGUUCACAAUUAGGAGAAUGACCAUGGACUGAUUUCCAUUCUCAGGGAAUGCAAAGAGACCUUGCAGACAUACCACCUGUGGCUGGGUGGUAGUCAACCAGCUGUAAGGCUGGGCAGAAGCCUUUUUUUCCAACAAAAAAGACUUAUUCAGGAGGAAUAAUAGAAGCCUUCUUAAAGAAAUCAGUGCUCAUUUUAUAGCAAAUAUGAUACCAAAAUUUUCCAGAUAGAAACUUUCUACAAGAGUUCUGAGUAUUAGAAAGCAGGCAUUCUUUAUUGAAGCAUGCUGAUCACUUGGAGGACCCUUUCUCUAAUUAAUUGCCCUGAGUGUUGCAUACCCACUGAUUUACAUAAUCGUUAGCUAUCCCCACUUACUUGAUGUGUAUGUUUUACUUUAUUUUACAUUCUCACACCCCUUAUCAGAAGUCCUUAUAUGGUUCUUUGGGGGUCGUUUUCCAUGGUCUUCAGCAUCUGGUGUCCUUUUUAGGUAGCUGCUCCUUGACCCCCACUUUUGAGUAAGCACAAUAUUCUUUAUAACUCCUGUUUUGUCAGCCUUGCAGAGCUUAGCUGGCAUCCUACUUGUCUUCCAGGACUUCUGUUUGAUUAAGUUACAUCCUAUUUUUAUUUUUCCAAGGCUAUACUGUUCUGUUCUACUGUCCUUAUCAAAUACAAUCAAUCAGCUUGCUAACAACACCAAGGUCACAUACACAUUCAUGUAUUCUCACACAAUCCCCAUAUGAAUCAUUUAUUUAAAGAGUUGGCCUCAAUGAUCAUUGUAGGUCCCUCAGAAUAUUUUCUGUGUGAACUUAUGUCCCAGUUAAGGCCUGUUAGAUGGUGAUGAAUGCUUGACUUAGUAUGUUAACAAGUAGAGAAGGAUCAGUCUCUUGAUCAGUAACUGACUUUUGAGGAUCCUUUGUGGUUUCAUAUCAAUAAACAUUUUUGUCCUAUGA